AAAAUUUAUAUAGAUUUGGUCAAGUUUUCUUUAAAAUUACUAUUUUCUAAAUUCAACAAUGAUUCUAAUUUUUACCUACUUCAAAAAGUAGGAGGUUCUCCAUUCAUCAGAAUCUUUUUUUUAUGUAUGUUCCCCGAUUAAUGUACAAAAUCUCUAAAUUAAAUUUUAUUAAGAGGCCUAUAAAAAUAAGUGUCAUACUUUUCACAAGGCCUUGUAUGUAGAAUUAAUUAUACUGCUACAUUUUUGUUUGUUAAAUCCGUCAGUGUGUUUGUGUGUAAAUAAACGCUUGUUUUUCAAUUUUAUUUAACACCCACUGUCGAGAUUUUUCAUAAUUACUUUGAUAUAAAUUCGUUAAUACUGUCCCUGCGAAAUUCGUUUGUGCGUAGGAUCAAAUAAAACUAUGUUCUGGUAACCGAGAUUUAUAUUUGCAACAUAAUAAAUUAUUUAAAUAUACUAAAACAAUUCAAUAAUAAAUACAAACUAGAUAAAGGCAUUUGUUGUAUACAAUUAACUAAAAUGUAAGUCAUUAUAGUGUAAAAAUUAUUUUAAAAAAUCUAUAGCACUUAAGGGUGCCUACUGCAUAGGCGAAACUGAAUGUGUUAAGAACAAACAGAUUUUUAAUAAAUAUUUAGUGAAUCUAUCUAUAAUCUGAUUGGUAUGCUUACAUCUCCGCCUUGCCUCGCUUGAAUUGAUAGACACCCUUAGGCCAAGAUUUGAUUGCUCUAGUGUUAAUCUUCUAUAAUAGUGUUAUAGAUAUUUUGCCUAUGGCCUAUUCUAAUACUGGGCUCAAAAGUAUUAGUAAAAGCAAGCAGCGGAUUUCCAAAAGCCUCAGAAAAUAUCAUGCCCAAUAGGGCCUCUUGUUCCACAUUAUUUGAACACACAAUUUGUUCGAAAAUGGCAGUGUUACCACACGAAAAAAAACUAUUUUUUUUUUGUUACAUAGGAAUCAUUAACUAGUGUUGCCAGUAUUAUUACUAUUGUAUAAUACAUAUUCUUUGAAAAAAUUAAGCCUAUAAAACUGUAAAAAAUGUAUUCGUAUAUUAGUAUAUUUAGGAAUCCUCUAUUAUCAGUAAUAUGAAAUGAUUGUUUUGUAUAUAAAAUUAUUCUGGAAGCGUGACCUAUACAUUAAUAUUUCGACAUAGAAGCGUAAAUAUAAAUAUUUAUUUUAAAAAUGUUUUGCUGAUCCAUAAUCGUAGGAUGAAUUCUGUAAGCAACAUCUUUUCCAAUUUAGUGAGUUAAAUGCUAUUAUCGCGGUGCCAUUCAAACUAAUUCAGAGCUGCCAUAUCAAUAAAUGCAAAAUAUUUAAAUAGCAGUAUAAUUGCGAAAAUAAAUCAAAAUCGAUUUUUUUAUUUGACCACAUAUUAAGGUUAGAUUGAGACCAAACGUCGAGCCUAUGGUUAUGUGCACGAUUGGUACCUACAUAUUAGUAUAUAUCCACUUCUGAAGUCGGACAUAUUACUAUUAUUAAAUAACAUUUCUUAAUAAGAGGGCACAGCCUUAAACACACUCAUUAUAAAUUCACGUUCACUGGUAUCACGAUAAAAAAUGGCGGCCUCAACACAACCCAAAACACAACAGCUGUCCUAUUUGGCGGCCAUUAUAAAUACGUAACAUUUGUAAUAACCGAAUUCCGACUAUCCGAAAAAUCCCUAGUUACUAACAAGUCGCGUCUGUUGAAGUUUUACUUCAAAAAUAUCGCUUAUACAAUCCAAAAUAAUAU